rnacentral:rRNA from 1 species
UACGAAGGGGGCUAGCGUUGCUCGGAAUCACUGGGCGUAAAGCGCACGUAGGCGGACUCUUAAGUCGGUGGUGAAAUCCCGGGGCUCAACCUCGGAACUGCCUUUGAUACAGCAAGUCUUGAGUUCGAGAGAGGUGGGUGGAAUUCCUAGUGUAGAGGUGAAAUUCGUAGAUAUUAGGAAGAACACCGGUGGCGAAGGCGGCCCACUGGCUCGAUACUGACGCUGAGGUGCGAAAGCGUGGGGAGCAAACAGG